rnacentral:lncRNA from 1 species
GGGAGACCCAGGUGCGUCCCGGCGCGGUGACCCACUUCUAGGAGUUGACGUUUUUUUCAGUUUGCUUGAAGCCGGAGGCAAUGGUGUCAGCUAAGAGAAUGACUUGUGGCUGGGAUCGUCCCUUCCAAGAAGCUCUCGGUCGCAUUCCAGCGUCUCGGUGGAGUCGAUGGUGGUACAAGAGUCAUAGCCCGCUCCGGAGAAGAGGCAAGUCACAGUCUCGUUCCUGAAGGCGCCAGAAGAGAAAUUACAGGCGCCGCUCGCUAUUCUGCUGGAGGUACCUCUCUCAGGAAAGGUCCUAUUACAGAAGGGCCUCUUUGAUCACGCGCAGGCGAUAGCACUAGGUCUUUUACCCUGUGGUGUAUCCGAAAGAACAGAGCACCUGGAGGGAGAGAUCCAGGAAGAGGUCGCGGAGCAGAACCCGGUUUCACAUAAUAAAAGAGGUUAGGAAGGUUUUUUUUGUCGCUAAGAGAGGCGCACAGGUUCACCUCUUUUACAUGUAGGGGUAUAUGUAUGAGUAGACGAGGAAACCAAGGUUUUUGUGUCGUUUAAUUUCUUUGAUUUCUUUUGAUGUAUGAAAUCUCCAGCUUUGGGUGAGGGAUGGGCAUUAGGUGAUUAGUAGACAAAACUAUGCAAUAACAAUCCAUAGCCUAUUUUUAAAGGGACAUCAUUCUUAUUCCUUGGAAUUAAAGAGUAAUGGUGACUUUAAAUGGUCCAGUGGAGGAAUCUAGUGAGGGCAGUUCUUAAUGGAACCUUUUAAAUGUCUUUUUUUUUUUUUUUGUUUUUUUGCCAUUUCUUGGGCCGCUCCCGUGGCACAUGGAGGUUCCCAGGCUAGGGGUCGAAUCGGAGUUGUAGCCGCCGGCCUACCCCACAGCCACAGCAACGCGGGAUCCAAGCCACAUCUGCAACCUACACCACAGCUCACGCCAGCACCAGAUCCUUAACCCACUGAGCAAGGCCAAUGAUCGAACCUGCAACCUCAUAGUUCCUAGUCAGAUUCGUUAACCACUGAGCCACGAUGGGAAACUCUUUAAAUGUCUAUUAAUGACACAAUAGUUUACCAGCUCUGAACAGCUUUAAUUAAUCUUGCCUUCAGCUUUUAAUAAGUUAACUAAUGACUGUGAGAGGAACGCAUUAAUCUUCCUUCCUCUUUGCGUUUUCUGUCUCCACUCUUUUUUAAAUUUACUGGCAUAAGACUGUCAGAUAUUUUGUAAGUGAGCAUCUUAAUCUUGCUUGUAUAAUAAAGUGCAUCCUUAAUUUGUC